rnacentral:ncRNA from 1 species
AUAACCUGUAAUCUUCGUAUAGGACGAAGAGCAUCCACCCUCAAACCGCUUAAUUUGAGGUCACCAGGGAGA